rnacentral:lncRNA from 1 species
GCUGAAAUCAGGAUGCUAUCUGCUAUAAUCCUGCUCUUUUCAAAACACAGAAAAGCGUGACGUUUUCACGAGACCAGUCAAAAUUUUCAGCGUUCUCUCCCGGUUCAAAGCCCAGCAUUUUACCAAAAUGACAAUUCUGUGCUGUAUGAAAUCACUAGGAACUAACUGGUACAAAGAAUGCUAUGUGCUCCUGACAAAAGCCUUUUCAUCACUUACAGCCAGCAGUCUGGAACUCCUGGUCAUGGUGCAGGAAAUGCUUGUGCCACCAUCACACAGGAGCCAUCCUGUUCCUAUUGCAGACCUCCCUCAGAUGUACCUAUCGUCCCCACAACAUGGCACAGCACCACCCAUUGCUGCUGCAUUCAGAAGACAUGCUGUAGCUGUUGUCUGGAAUCUGUACCGACUUUAAAAUUAUUGCCUCUAGACAUCUUGCUCGUUGUGCUUGUAUCACCUUCAUGGUACGUCGGAUGUUUCCUGCAGCCCUGAAACCACUUCACAGUCCUGUCAAAGUGCUUCAGGACUGCCAUGCACUUCUCAGCGACUCAUUGGAACCAGCUGGACCCACAACGGCUGAGUAAAGAGAAGGCAAAAAAAGCUGAAGGAACUGAAAAAAAUGAAAGGAAGUGGGUGGAGAGUGUUUGGCUCAUGUUCAAUGGUCUGGUGAUUGAAGACAAAACAUCAGCAUUCCUUCUGGUAUUUGUUUCCUUGUCAGAAAGGCAUCUUGGAAGGGAGAGGCCCCACAACAGAAGGAAGAAAAUCUGUCGUUGCAGGAAUAAACAGCGACUCAAACCACAGACGAGAUUCUUGGAGCAUGGGAACAGAUGGAUUUAAAGAUAUGAAACAUCAUCUGAAUUCUUCUGAUGCUGGUUCAGACUGAUACUUGGGAAAUGAUUAGUAACAAACUGGUAUGGCAGACCUGUCUUCCAUCAGCUCACCUUCACGAUCCGGGCACUAACUCUGUCAGAUAUUUCUUCAUGCUUAUAUUCACAGGCAUGCAACCAAGCUGGUGAAAAAGAUAUAUUACAGGGGAAAGAGUUUGGUGGAAAUUCAUUCUUCCCCUUCCCUUCCCUUCCCUUCCCUUCCCUUCCCUUCCCUUCCCUUCCCUUCCCUUCCCUUCCCUUCCCUUCCCUUCCCUUCCCUUCCCUUCCCUUCCCUUCCCUUCCCUUCCCUUCCCUUCCCUUCCCUUCCCUUCCCUUCCCUUCCCUUCCCUUCCCUUCCCUUCCCUUCCCUUCCCUUUCCACAAGGGAACCC